rnacentral:miRNA from 1 species
UUAAGUAGUUGCGCCGAAGGCG